rnacentral:rRNA from 1 species
UGGGGAAUAUUGGGCAAUGGGCGCAAGCCUGACCCAGCAACGCCGCGUGAAGGAAGAAGGCCCUCGGGUUGUAAAACUUCUUUUAUCAGGGACGAAGAAGUGACGGUACCUGAUGAAUAAGCCACGGCUAACUACGUGCC